rnacentral:miRNA from 1 species
AACCUUGUAGUUUCGUUGUG